rnacentral:miRNA from 1 species
GUAUGUAUGUAUGUACAUACAUG